GUCUAUGGCCAUGCCACCCUGAAAGCACCCAAUCUUGUUUGAUUUUGGAAACUAAGCAGGGUCGAGCCUGGUUAGUACUUGAAUGGGAGACUGCCUGGGAGUACCAGGUGCUGUAAGCU
ensembl:rRNA 5S_rRNA 5S ribosomal RNA